rnacentral:antisense_RNA from 1 species
GACAGACAUUAAGGAUUCAAAAUGCGACCCCGCACCCACAGCUAAGUAGGCAUUCAUGCCUAGCUCUUUCAUCUGCUGUUCGCCAAUCACCCGGGUAGUAAUGUGGGUGCUAUUUGCGUCCGCCAAUUGACGGGCUUGCGAAGCAAGAUAGGCCGGGUUACAGAUAUUGGGUGGCAUAUUGCCGAGAUCUUUCGC